GCCCCCAUCGUCUAGCGGCCUAGGACAUCGCCCUCUCACGGCGGUAACACCGGUUCAAAUCCGGUUGGGGGUACCA
rnacentral:tRNA from 7 species